UUUUUUUUCUCGAGACAGGAUUUCUCUGUGUAGCCCUGGCUGUCCUGGAACUCACUCUGUAGACCAGACCGGCCUCGAACUCAGAAAUCGGCCUGCCUCUGCCUCCCAAGUGCUGGGAUUAAAGGCGUGCACCACCACCACCCAGCCCUGGCAAAGUCGUCUUAAUCACUGAAUAUGUACUGAAAAUAUGGGUUUCUCCCACCUCCACAUUUUCAUCACAAGAAGAAAGAUUUUCUUGCCUCUAUGCCAUAAAAUAACUGGGCAAGCUUGGUGUCCCUGACUGUCUCGCAGGUGACCUGCCUCAGUUGAAAUACCUUUUAGUACACCCUUAACCUUUCCAUGUAGGUUUCUUGUCAUGCAGGCUUACCGUAGGACAGGAUGAGCAAGCAGAGGUAAGGUACAAGGUUCAGCAACAAGGAAGAAUUCUUCCUCUCUUCCCGACCAGCAGGCUGCCCUCAUAAAUUUCAUGGAAAGGUCAAGGCAGAACUACUUAACAUCUUCUGGCUAACAAGAAGCUCAUGGUGACAAGAAUGCUCAUCUGUGAUCGACUACGUCCUACAAAAGUGAGAUUCAGAGCUAGCACGAGGGCUGACAACCUGAGUUCAAGUCCUGGGACUCACAUGGUGGAAAGAGAGAACGGACUCCUGGCACCUAUCUUCUAAGCUCCCCAUGCAUGCUGAGACACAGCCCCCUCCCCUCUCCCCAGGUAAUAAAUGAGAUAUUAAAAAUAAAGAAGC
ensembl:processed_transcript Gm20033 predicted gene, 20033